AGACUCCAGUAAAGGGGACACCAAGCUAACUGGGCCAGUAGAGGAAAACAAGAUGGCAGGGAAAGACGAGUCCAAGGAGGCAUCCUGGUACACCCAGUUUGUGGACAUCCCGGCAGACGUCAAAAGUGCUGGGAAUGACCAAGUGAAGGAGGUUGUAGUUGAGGUCUCGCUGAAUGGCAAGUCGCUGAAAAUAUUCACAAGGCAAGCAGAUCCACAGGGAAGUGCAACAAAUGUUGAUGUUCUGUUUCUUCAUGGACAAAGUUUCACUUCAGAAAACUGGUUGGAUAUCGGGACACUCAGCCUGGUGUCUAGUUGGGGCCAUAGAGGAGUGGCUGUUGACUUACCAGGCUAUGGAAGUACUAAAGAUGUUAUUGAUGAUGGCUCACAUGGAGCUUUCCUUGGGGCGUUAGUUAAGGCCCUGAAGAUGACCCGCCCAGUGGUGGUCAGCCCAUCAAUGAGUGGUGGCUUCUCCCUUCCCUUUCUGUUUGACCAGCCAGAGACAGCUGAAGACAGGAGUCGUGGAUACCUACCUGUUGCCCCGGUAGCCACAAGUAAAUAUACAGAAGCAUACAGUAAGAGCAAGAUUCCAACCAUGAUAGUUUAUGGUGAAAAUGAUACAAAUUUAGGAACACGUAGCCUAAAAGACCUGAUCAAACUUCCCAACAGCAAGCCAUUUGUCAUCCCUGAAGCCGGUCACGCAGCCUACAUGAACAACCCACCAUUCUUCCACAGACUGCUGUACAAUUUCCUAAAUAUUAUUGCUGCUUACAAGUGAACAUUAUUAUGAGGGAAUGUUCGUUUUUUGUUAGAGUCUGAGUUAACUAUGUGCUAUAAGGCUUGCUUCAUCAGGUAUACUUACACAGGCAUACCAACACAAGCUUACAUGCACUGGCAUAGAUACACAACCAUACUUACACAAGCUUACAUGCACUUCCAUAGAUACACAACCAUACUUACACACGCAUCCUGCACAGGCACACUUAUGAAAGGGUUAUGUACACAGGAAUACUUACAGAGGCAUACUUGAACAGGCUUACCUGCACAGGCAUAAUUACAGGUACACCGAUAUACUUAGCAGUCUUAUACUCAAGUCUUUUGCACUUCAGUUACAGAGGUUAGCAGACAUGGCAAGAGGUAUUUGUUUUUACCAUGAUGUUUGUUUUCAGGCUGGCAUGAUUGUAUAUUAGGUUUUUUGUUCACUUUUGUAAUCGGUUGAUACAAUAGAAGGUUGAGCAAGUUGUGUGUUUUGUUGAUGUGUACUGAGAAAUGUGUUUGGGCAGGAAAUCAGGAAGUCCAUAUAAUGGCUGGGUUGUAUGGAAACUACUAAUGUAUUCGGAUUUCAGACUUGUGUGUUUCUAAUGUUUUUUCUGUUAUGCUAUCACUUUAAUCACCAUUAAUUAUCACAAUUUGUCAGUUCAUAUUGUUUUAAGAUGUACAUUAUGAUACUGUUGUAUAUUUUAUUUAGUGUUUCAUAAGUUCACAUAUGUGUGCAAAUUAUGAUUUUCUUGUAGUGGGAUGUAAGAGUGCCUUGUGUUUAGUGAGUGUACUGUCCUGCAUAAUGGCUGACUUGAGGUGACUCCUUGUGCAGACCUACUGUAACAUAGGUACGUCGCCCGCAAGAUGUUUGUCUUCUCAACAGUGUGAUCUCGAUGUGCCUACAAAUUACAGUAACCAUGGUAACGUGAUCAUGGUCUUGUUAAUGUCCUUGUUAGCAAGGAUCCCCCCCCACCCCCUUGUCCUGUGCCGAUGUUUGUAUUCUGGGCUUUACAUGCAUCAUUGUGGGAUAAGAUAUUAAAAACACAUUACAUCAUUUUACAUUACAAAUUACAUGACUUAUUUCAAUUAAACAAGUUCAAAUUCUGCCAGGCACAUUUUGUAUGCUUUAGGGUAUUAUAUUCGGGGUUUUUUUUACUUUCCUCAUUAUCUCAGUGGUCUACUGGAGAUAGAGCACCUGUUAUCAUGAUUAUGAAGAAUUUUCAGUUAUCAAUUAAUGUAUAUAAUCACAA
rnacentral:misc_RNA from 1 species